rnacentral:lncRNA from 1 species
UUUUAUUGCAUCAAAUCUAAAUACAAGAAGAUAUAUCAAGAAAAAUAAAUCUGAUUACAAAUGGUAUAUACUCUCUGAAGUAGUGGAUCUCUAGCCACGCAUGGAGAGGAGGCUGCAGGCUGAAGUCUGAUGCAUCUUGGAGACUUCUGAAGAUGAUCUUUAUACCCACGGACCUCUAACUUUCAGAUCUAAAUCUUUCUCUGAAGAUGGAAGGGAUGAAGAGAACAAAGAGGAUGAAUAAGGUGUCUGGAGCAAAGGUUGUGGCGAUAGGGUCUCUAGGUGGAAGAAAUAUGGGGACGGCAGCCUGACGUGUGUGAAGGGAGUAAGGGGGCG